rnacentral:lncRNA from 1 species
GGGUGCGCAUGGAUUUAUUUCUGUACUUUUUUUGUUCCUGGGAACAGAAACAAAAAAAAGUGUUUCUGUUCCGGGGAACAAUUUUUGAACAAAAGAACGCGUUUGGUAACGUUUGGUCCGGGAAUAAAAAAUGAACAGAAACACGUUUGGUUAAAUUUUAUUAUUUUUUUGUUUCUUUUAAUUUUUUAAACAUUUCUUAUUAUUUU